rnacentral:rRNA from 1 species
AUUGAACGCUGGCGGCAUGCCUUACACAUGCAAGUCGAACGGCAGCACGGGAGCAAUCCUGGUGGCGAGUGGCGAACGGGUGAGUAAAGUAUCGGAACGUGCCCAGUCGUGGGGGAUAACGUAGCGAAAGUUACGCUAAUACCGCAUACGAUCUAUGGAUGAAAGCGGGGGAUCGCAAGACCUCGCGCGAUUGGAGCGGCCGAUAUCAGAUUAGGUAGUUGGUGGGGUAAAGGCUCACCAAGCCGACGAUCUGUAGCUGGUCUGAGAGGACGGCCAGCCACACUGGGACUGAGACACGGCCCAGAGGCCUACGGGAGCAGCAUUGGGGAAUUUUGGACAAUGGGCGCAAGCCUGAUCCAGCCAUGCCGCGUGCAGGAUGAAGGCCUUCGGGUUGUAAACUGCUUUUGUACGGAACGAAAAGGUUUGACUUAAUACGUUGGACUCAUGACGGUACCGUAAGAAUAAGCACCGGCUAACUACGUGCCAGCAGCCGCCGUAA